UACGUAGGGGGCAAGCGUUAUCCGGAAUCAUUGGGCGUAAAGCGCGUGUAGGCGGUUCCGUAAGUCCGCUCUGAAAGCCCAGGGCUCAACCCUGGGAGGCGGGUGGAUACUACGGAACUGGAGUACGGAAGAGGAGAUUGGAAUUCCUGGUGUAGCGGUGAAAUGCGCAGAUAUCAGGAAGAACACCCGUGGCUAAGGCGGCUCUCUAGUACGGUACUGACGCUGAGACGCGAAAGCGUGGGGAGCGAACAGG
rnacentral:rRNA from 1 species